CAGUCGCCGCGGUAAAACGGAGGGUGCAAGCGUUAAUCGGAAUUACUGGGCGUAAAGCGCACGCAGGCGGUUUGUUAAGUCAGAUGUGAAAUCCCCGAGCUUAACUUGGGAACUGCAUUUGAAACUGGCAAGCUAGAGUCUUGUAGAGGGGGGUAGAAUUCCAGGUGUAGCGGUGAAAUGCGUAGAGAUCUGGAGGAAUACCGGUGGCGAAGGCGGCCCCCUGGACAAAGACUGACGCUCAGGUGCGAAAGCGUGGGGAGCAAACAGGAUUAGAUACCCGCGUAGUCCCUGUCUCUUAUAC
rnacentral:rRNA from 1 species